AACCGUAUAAAAGACCAUCGCUCUGAUGUCGGAUUCGUACUUGAAACAGUUGCCAAAAGACGAAACAUAAUGUUCCCGACGUUCUUCAUCGCCGUGCUACUAGCACUUUUUGUAUUCGUGCAUGAAGGUACCGCUGACGAUUUCUUAGAUUGUUAUGAGAGAUGCUCCAGUGCACGUGACUACCUAGGCUUGACAAGCUGCAUACAAAGCAACUGUUACUGAAAACGCGUAUGGUCAAUGCACUGUUCAAAUACGUUAUGGCUAAACCAUGUAACUUUGACACCAAAUAAAUUUAGUAGCUUGUAAA